GAGGGCGUGACAAAAGAACAAAAUGAGUGACUGUCACUCUCAAUGCGUGACACUUGAGAGCCCUAGGUCAGAUAUAGGUUGAAAAAUCUAUCAUUUUAACAAGGACAUCUUACACUGAAUGCAGAAAAGCUAGCCAUAGUUGUAGAGCAAGAAUAGCCUGGGCGGAGCCAAUAUCAAGCCAGGUGUGUCAGGUAGGACACGGAAAAAGGUGCACUACCCGCGCAAGUGAUUUGGCCACUUGAUGCGAGGCAUGGGCAGAAUUUAGAGUGGGUUACGCUGAGCCUGAAUGCAUGACAACUUUUAUUGGCGAUUGAUGUCGAGGGAACAUGAGUGAGCCGCCUGCAAUCAACCCGUCUCCUGUACCUGGGACAAAACCUGGGGUCAGGAAGAGAAGGGGCAGCUAUGAGCUCCUCCCCCCCAACAUGAGUGGAGAUCCGGGGAAUAAACUGUCACGGCUAAAAGCUGAGCUGUACCAAAAGAUGGACCUGGAGGACUUCAGCAAGAAGUUUAGCCUCUUAAAAGCAGAUAUGGACAGAAACAUGGACCAACAUAUGGUUAGGCACAGACUUGAGGUCCUGAGAUCUGAGCUAAAUCGUAUGAUCCAAAACCAACAUGAGCUGAAAGCGCAUCUUGAUAGUGCAAUGGCAGACUUUGAAACAUUCAAACAGGAAACAAAUGUUUUUUUUGAUGAACAGAAGCGAGUACAAGACAACAUAAAGGUAGAACUACACAAAACAAAGGCACAGGUUACUUUAGCUAACCACAAGAGCAUCAGAUCUGUCUUGCUUGCCUUGUUUUCUGUAAUAGCAGCUGGUGUAAGCUUUAUGUUUUCAUUUGAAGAAAGCUCUGUUAUUCCGUUACAUGUAAGUGAGGGAAUUACAGUUUUCAUUAAAUGUGCUGCUCUUGUGCUUGUUGGAUACAUCCUGGGCCAUUGCAGCUUGACCAGAUAUUGGGUUAAAUCGAAUACAACUUAAUCUAUAGAUAUGGAUCCAGGACUCGCCUUGAUUUCUUAGAAUGUUUUUAAGUGUUGUGUCUGUUGUUUGGUUAUUCAUGUCACAUACUCUGCAAGCUCUUUAAGUCUUGAAUGUUCCUUCUAACUGUUACUAUUAUUGUGCAUUUUUUGACAAAGUGCAUGUUUGCACAAAUAGCGUGUUUAAAUGCUCAUAUGUUAAAUUUAUUGGGCAUUUUAAAAAAAUCUCAAAUUGAGAGAGGAUAAUUUUAAAUCAAUGUGUUUAUUUGCCAUGUAAGUUUACACAAACACAGAAUUUAAUGUGGCAGCUAAAUGGUUCAACAUGACAGUAUUACAUCCACCGAGGAGCACUUUGAACGUAAUAUAUACUGUACAUUUUAAAACAUUGUACUUUUUUUUAAAUAUGAAGGUGUGAAACCAAUUAUAUACUCUGUUGUAUGUGUCUUAUUGCUAUGCUGUAUCUUGGCCAGGUCGCAGUUGUAAAAGAGAACUUGUUCUCAACUAGCCUACCUGGCUAAAUAAAGGUAAAAAAAAAAAUAUAUAUAUAUAUAUAUUAUUUGCAUCCAUACGUUUCCCAGAUUUUAUUUUUGAAAAGGCAUCAGCUCAUGAGUGGGUGAUUCAUCCCCAUUGACAGUGGAAAUCACUUGCAAAAUCAUAGUAGAUCCAAGGCUAUUUACCUGUGACUAUUUCCCUGAAACAUUCAACAAUACU